UUUAAAAUUGCAAUUUACCGCUUUAUUGUGUAUUUCCUUUUUCUUUUUUUUUUUCUGUGCCAAUACUUGGAAUAUUUGUCUUAUGGACAAGUAAUUUUUACCAACGCUUUUCCCAUUGUAGACGGAUAAGUGACUUCAUCACUGUAACAUACUUUUUUUCUUACUCUAUCAUAGGCUUUCGCUGGACUGUCUUUCAUCUCCAAGUCUAUAGGCGUAGGCUUGGUUUCGAUAUUGCUCUUUUCGGUUGAAAAGAUCAUAACCACUACCCACAUUCCACAAAAUAGUACACGCGUUGUGUGAAACGUAGAUCAUCACCAUUCUUAACCGAGACUCAGGUUAAGCUCCGUCUCGGAACCUUGUUGGUUAGGAAUAAAGCAUCCCGGAAUUUUUAAACCAACAAAAAUUAAUUUUAAACCUUUAUUUUUUUCUAAGUCUGGAACCAAUUUUUGCUAAUUUUUGAAUAACAAGCACAACAAAACCAUCACCAACACGAAUGCACUUAAAGCACUAAUCUAGUAAGACGUUAAAUGUUUAUAAUCCGCACCGCACCACACCACAUUUAAUAUUAACAAAAAUAUUUACAUCUUUAUAUAUAAAAUAGACAUUCUUUCUCUCCUAAAGCCAUUCACGUAGGAUGACAGCGCAAUAAUUCGGUCUUCCUUCAGCCGACACGUGUCCCGUUAAAUGAAACGCAGCUGUUAUGGCAUCCGUCGGGCUUCGCUUGGGCUUUGUCUCGCGUUUUGUUUUUGCAGGCCAAUGACCAGCGACGCGACCACAAGAGAGAAAGAAACCCUAACCCGUCCUGAUUCACGCCUUCGUGUUCUUCGUUUCUCUUCGAUCGGCAGACGGGGCAAUCCAGUUUCUGUAACGUCCGGUAGGUGUUCAUCAGUUGUGGAUGCGAUGCUGCUGCAGUACUGCAAGGCUAGAUAUGUCAAGGGUGGUGGGGAUCUUAUGUGGGUCGACAUGCUAAUGGUGGAUAUUAAAUUGAGUGGUUUUCGUUUCUCAGUCUUCAAUAUUUUGAUUGUUCCGAGUUAUUAUACCAAUCGUAUCGAUUUCCAGUCAAUUAGCAUUGGUUCUGUAUUUUUUUCUCCCCUUUAAUUAGAUGGACUGUUAUUUAGCAUUGAGAUCGAUUUCCAGUCAAUUAGAAUCGAUUCUGUAUUUUUUUUUCCUUUUUUAUGAAUUUAUAUAUAUAGAUUUCAGUGGUGAAACCUCAGCCAGGAGAUAGGAUACUGAACGCAUGUGCUGCUCCUGGAGGGAAGACCCUUUUCAUGGCAUCUUGCUUGAAACGCCAAGGUUAUGCAGGCUGAUGCUAUGGAUGUGAAUGAAGGACGGCUAAGAAUUCUUGGGGAGACAGCUAAAUCACACCAAGUUGUUGGACUUAUCACAACCAUUCAUUCUGAUCUACGUGUCUUCGCUGUGAGUUAAUACUGUUUGAGUAAGUGAGCUUUACAAGUGUGUAAGCUACUCACAUUGUUUGCUUCAAGCUCAAAUGUCGUUUAGAAAACAAAAGAGGUACAAUAUGAUAAAUUGUUGCUUGAUGCCCCGUGUUCUGGAAUCGGUGUCCUCUCUAAGGUUAACAUGAGCAAUUUUUUGUCAUACUGUUUUUUCUUAGUUGAAUAGCUUAACAUGUUCCUUCUCUCUCUCUGUGCUUCUUGAUUCUGCCUCCAAGUAUGCACACACCCUGUGGAUAGAUUUUAAUUCUCUAGAAAAAAACUAAUAUGGGACCUAACUAAUACUUCUCUACCUAACUAAUACUUCUCUUUGUGUCUUAAAUUAAAAUCUCAAAAAUUGGUGAAGCCUGGUGGGUUCUUGAUAUACAGUACUUGCUCGAUAGACCCUGAAGAAAAUCAAGGAAGAGUCGAAGCGUUUCUCCUAAGACAUCCUGAGUUCUCGGUAGAUCCAGUAGACAGAUUAGUACCAUCAAGUUUUGUAACGUCGCAAGGCGUCUUUUUAUCCAACCCAGUGAAACACUCCUUGGAUGGAGUGUUUGCAGUCCGUCUGGUUCGAGCUUUAUGAUGUAAAAGUCAAGCUUAUUUUCUCUGAUCAUCUUGAUAACAUAGAGAUAGGGUUCCAUUUGUGUAUCUGAUGAGACCAAAGAGGGUACGGAAAUACCUUUUGGUUCAAAAGGGAUCCAUGCAUAGGGUUAAAGAUGUUAUGACAGAUCUUUGUUGAAAUUGUUUGUUGGUAUGUAAACAUCAUGCUGUUAAAGAAAAUGUCUUACCGUUUUAGCGAU